GAGGGAACCAGUGUGAGAGCUCAGCAGCCAGCCAGCCUGAUGAAGGGAGGCCCGCGCCGAACAGAAACAGUACCUUUAUUCCUGCAAGCUAAGUCUUCUAUAGCCGCUUUAUAAAGAUGCAGUUUCUAAGCAAUGCCAGGCUCACACUGCGGCUAUGAUGGUUUAUGCUACAAAAGGCCUGUUAGAAAGUGGGGGAAAAUUGCUGGUCUCACAAAGAUCAUUUCAGCUCUAUCCGGGCCCACUGGACAGCUAACACCAGCAGAAUCAUUUUGGACCAAGAGGGUCAGCAAGAUGACAGGUUGAAGUCCUAACCCAUGUAAAAGAGGAAACCGCCAUGUGAAGGUGACGGCAGAGAUUGGAGCGAGCGGGUGCACAACAAGAAACAAGGACUGACAGCCACCUUCAGACGCUAGGAGGAGGCAAGGAAGGUUUGCCCUCUCAGAGGGAGCACAGCCCUGUUGACAC
rnacentral:lncRNA from 1 species